rnacentral:rRNA from 1 species
GACGAACGCUGGCGGCGUGCCUAAUACAUGCAAGUUGAGCGAUGAAGAUUGGUGCUUGCACCAAUUUGAAGAGCAGCGAACGGGUGAGUAACGCGUGGGGAAUCUGCCUUUGAGCGGGGGACAACAUUUGGAAACGAAUGCUAAUACCGCAUAACAACUUUAAACAUAAGUUUUAAGUUUGAAAGAUGCAAUUGCAUCCCUCAAAGAUGAUCCCGCGUUGUAUUAGCUAGUUGGUGAGGUAAAGGCUCACCAAGGCGAUGAUACAUAGCCGACCUGAGAGGGUGAUCGGCCACAUUGGGACUGAGACACGGCCCAAACUCCUACGGGAGGCAGCAGUAGGGAAUCUUCGGCAAUGGACGAAAGUCUGACCGAGCAACGCCGCGUGAGUGAAGAAGGUUUUCGGAUCGUAAAACUCUGUUGGUAGAGAAGAACGUUGGUGAGAGUGGAAAGCUCAUCAAGUGACGGUAACUACCCAGAAAGGGACGGCUAACUACGUG